rnacentral:rRNA from 1 species
UACGGAGGAUGCGAGCGUUAUCCGGAUUUAUUGGGUUUAAAGGGUGCGUAGGCGGAAGAUUAAGUCAGUGGUGAAAGUUUGAGGCUCAACCUUAAAAUUGCCAUUGAAACUGGUUUUCUUGAGUAUAUUUGAAGUAGGCGGAAUUCGUGGUGUAGCGGUGAAAUGCAUAGAUAUCACGAGGAACUCCAAUUGCGUAGGCAGCUUACUAAACUAUAACUGACGCUGAGGCACGAAAGCGUGGGUAUCAAAC